UGGAAACGCCCAGGCACAGCUGAGGUUAGGCAGAUGCUUUCUUGCCGGAGCCAGAGAUCCGCACAGAGACACGGGGCCCCACUCUGCACCGGAGCCUGGGAGCAUCCAAACAGCCGUCUGUGCCUUGAAGGAGGGUGAGCAGCUGGCCUUGGUGCUGGGGCCAUGCCACGUGCCAGGGGAGCAUCUGGAGACAUGCCACGUGGCACGUCAGGGGAAGCACAGCUGCGAUAACAACAGGUGAAGAUGGGCCGCGAUCUGCUGCACCUGGGAUUCCUCGUCACAGUUUUCCAGCAGCUAGUCUUCUCGGCUGAGCCGUGUGAGGACCCCUUCCCCACCCAGCAGCACGUCCAGGCGGGGGAGAACGUCUCCAUGAGUUGCAACUUCACCGUCUAUGACCCCAGAACGGCCCCAACGGUCCAGUGGAACUAUCAGAGCCAGACCAAGAACAUGGAAAGCAUCAACCUCUACACAAGCAUCAAUGGGAACGAGAACCGCUUCUACUACAGGCCGCGCUUCGAGGGCAGGACGUGGGUUAACGCCACUGGGCUGGCCCAUGGCGACGCCACCCUGCACCUUGCUGGAGUCACGACGUCCGACCAAGGGUACUUCUCCUGCUUUGUGGGCCUGGGCCACGACUGUAAGUCUGUGGCGGUGCAGCUCUGGGUCAGCGAUCACCAACAAUCUAGGUCAGCGCUAGCCUGCGGGCUCGCUGCCACCUGCUUCCCUGGCCUGGUGCUUUCCCUUGCCGCAGCAGUUACCUUGUGCAUGUGAGCGCAGGGAUCGGGGCUAGACCCCAACUGGGAUGUGACUGCGAAACACUCGGAAGCCUCCAUGUGAUCAAAGGGGACAGCCGCCUCCUCGAACACGCCAGCCUCUCUCACAUCCCAGCGCUGCAGAUGGCACCGGGCCCUCCAAGCCAGGCUGGCACAUGAAACAUACACAACUGGGACACUGAGCGCUUGUGUACACUGAAACGCUACCCUGGCACCGCUGUGCUUGUGUAGACAUGACCUGCACCAACGGGAGGGGUUCUCCCAUCGCUGUGGACAAUCCACCUUCCUGAGAGAUGGUAGCUAGGUUGAUGGAAGAAGUCUCCUGUUGGCCUAGUGCUGUCUACACGGAGAGUUAGGUUGGCUUAACUGUGCCGCGCAGGGGUGUGGAUUUUUCACACCGCUGGGCAGGGCCGGCUCUAGGAUUUUUGCCGCCCAAAGCAAAAACAAUUUUGGCUGCCCCCCCCGCGUUCUUUAAUU
rnacentral:lncRNA from 1 species